AUUGAACGCUGGCGGCAGGCCUAACACAUGCAAGUCGAACGAGUGGCGGACGGGUGAGUAAUGUCUGGGAACCUGCCUGAUGGAGGGGGAUAACUACUGGAAACGGUAGCUAAUACCGCAUACCAUCGGAUGUGCCCAGAUGGGAUUAGCUAGUUGGUGGGGUAACGGCUCACCAAGGCGACGAUCCCUAGCUGGUCUGAGAGGAUGACCAGCCACACUGUAACUGAGACACGGUCCAGACUCCUACGUGAGGCAGCAGUGGGGAAUAUUGCACAAUGGGCGAAAGCCUGAUCCAGCCAUGCCGCGUGUAUGAUGAAGGCCUUCGGGUUGUAAAGUACUUUCGGCGGAGAGGCGGUACCCGCAGAAUAAGCACCGGCUAACUCCGUGCCAGCAGCCGCGGUAAUUC
rnacentral:rRNA from 1 species